GGGAACUCACUGGCUUCGGGUUCCAUCGGAACUCCGAAGUUAAGCGAGUUCGGGCGGGAGCAUGCUCAGGAUGAGCGAGUUCGGGCGAGAGCAUUCCCAGGAUGGGUGACCCACUGGGAAGUUCUCGUGUGAGUUCCCA
rnacentral:rRNA from 1 species